rnacentral:tRNA from 1 species
GAGGGAAUAGCUCAAGUGGUAGAGCACAUGCCUAGCAUGCACAAGGUCCUGGGUUCAAUCCCCAGUGCCUCCU